rnacentral:misc_RNA from 1 species
CACGGCAGCCCCACACAACACAAUCUACACGGGAGACUGCUCUCACCCCUUCUCCCCCUGACUCCACGUGGUGUUCUGUUUCUUUCUGCCGCCAUCAUAGCCUUUUGGCGUUGUCGACUCUCUCUCCCACCUUGCCCGUUGUGUGUUUGGCCUCUCCGGGAGCACGUCUUUGUUUCUUUGUUCUCGCUGAUGAUGGGGGCACACACCUCCGUGCGUGGCGUCUCACGGUCCCGUACCUCCCCCUCCCCCACUCUGUGGCGAAAGUCAGGCAGCCCCCCACCCCUACCCCUGCCAGUGCCGAGCCGCUUCCGGUGGUGACAGGGUCAGGUGCCUACCCCACAGGGGAGGCCAGCGCGACUCCUGUCCGCAGCCAGGCCCUGGACGGCGUGUUGCUGGAGCGGCCGGCGACUGAAGGCGCUUGUGCCGUCCGCGCGAUGGGCCGAGCGUCAGCGCGACUCGCGCGUACGCCACCCGGUGCUCGCUGCCUGCUGGCGGGGAGCCUUUAUGCGACCCCGAGGGGUGCACCCGGUGGCGGCGGGCGGGGCGCGGGUGGUGUGCCGACGUUGAGGCGGAGGCCGCUCCCCGGCGACUGUGGCGGCGCAUUGCUGGGAGGCGUGUGUGUCCCGCUGCUUCGCGCCACCCGAUGGACCUGUGGAAGGCCCGGAGGUGGAGUGGCGUUUAACAUGCGUUCUAUGGCAGAAAUGGGCACAGGUUGAACAACAAAAAAGAAGUGAUCAGUUGUUGUGGUCUCUCUUCACUGAAAGUUCUGUCGCUCUGCGCGUGCGUGUCUGAGCUCCCCCUUCUUCCUGUGUUCUUCCUCUGCACCCUUUUGUAUUCAUCUCUCCUUUUCUUUUCCCUGUACCCCACGACACCUCUCCGCGUUGUCUGCCCUGUCCCUCUCCUUUUUAUAG